CAGAGGGGGCAAGCGUUGUUCGGAAUUACUGGGCGUAAAGGGCGCGUAGGCGGCCUGCUAAGUCGAACGUGAAAUCCCUGGGCUCAACCCAGGAACUGCGUCCGAUACUGGUUGGCUUGAAUCCGGGAGAGGGAUGUGGAAUUCCAGGUGUAGCGGUGAAAUGCGUAGAUAUCUGGAGGAACACCGGUGGCGAAGGCGACAUCCUGGACCGGCAUUGACGCUGAGGCGCGAAAGCCAGGGGAGCAAACGGGAUUAGAUACCCCGGUAGUCCUGGCCCUAAACGAUGAAUGCUUGGUGUGGCGGGUAUCGAUCCCUGCCGUGCCGAAGCUAACGCAUUAAGCAUUCCGCCUGGGGGAGUACGGUCGCAAGGCUG
rnacentral:rRNA from 1 species